AUCAGAAGUGCGAAUGCUGACAUAAGUAACGAUAAAGCGGGUGAAAAGCCCGCUCGCCGGAAGACCAAGGGUUCCUGUCCAACGUUAAUCGGGGCAGGGUGAGUCGACCCCUAAGGCGAGGCCGAAAGGCGUAGUCGAUGGGAAACGGGUUAAUAUUCCCGUACUUGGUGUUACUGCGAAGGGGGGACGGAGAAGGCUAUGUUGGCCGGGCGACGGUUGUCCCGGUUUAAGCGUGUAGGUGUGUGUUCCAGGUAAAUCCGGUUCACUUUAACACUGAGGCGUGACGACGAGGCACUACGGUGCUGAAGCAACAAAUGCCCUGCUUCCAGGAAAAGCCUCUAAGCAUCAGGUAACAUCAAAUCGUACCCCAAACCGACACAGGUGGUCAGGUAGAGAAUACCAAGGCGCUUGAGAGAACUCGGGUGAAGGAACUAGGCAAAAUGGUGCCGUAACUUCGGGAGAAGGCACGCUGACAUGUAGGUGAAGUGAUUUACUCAUGGAGCUGAAGUCAGUCGAAGAUACCAGCUGGCUGCAACUGUUUAUUAAAAACACAGCACUGUGCAAACACGAAAGUGGACGUAUACGGUGUGACGCCUGCCCGGUGCCGGAAGGUUAAUUGAUGGGGUCAGCGCAAGCGAAGCUCCUGAUCGAAGCCCCGGUAAACGGCGGCCGUAACUAUAACGGUCCUAAGGUAGCGAAAUUCCUUGUCGGGUAAGUUCCGACCUGCACGAAUGGCGUAAUGAUGGCCAGGCUGUCUCCACCCGAGACUCAGUGAAAUUGAACUCGCUGUGAAGAUGCAGUGUACCCGCGGCAAGACGGAAAGACCCCGUGAACCUUUACUAUAGCUUGACACUGAACAUUGAGCCUUGAUGUGUAGGAUAGGUGGGAGGCUUUGAAGUGUGGACGCCAGUCUGCAUGGAGCCGACCUUGAAAUACCACCCUUUAAUGUUUGAUGUUCUAACGUGGACCCGUAAUCCGGGUUGCGGACAGUGUCUGGUGGGUAGUUUGACUGGGGCGGUCUCCUCCUAAAGAGUAACGGAGGAGCACGAAGGUUGGCUAAUCCUGGUCGGACAUCAGGAGGUUAGUGCAAUGGCAUAAGCCAGCUUGACUGCGAGCGUGACGGCGCGAGCAGGUGCGAAAGCAGGUCAUAGUGAUCCGGUGGUUCUGAAUGGAAGGGCCAUCGCUCAACGGAUAAAAGGUACUCCGGGGAUAACAGGCUGAUACCGCCCAAGAGUUCAUAUCGACGGCGGUGUUUGGCACCUCGAUGUCGGCUCAUCACAUCCUGGGGCUGAAGUAGGUCCCAAGGGUAUGGCUGUUCGCCAUUUAAAGUGGUACGCGAGCUGGGUUUAGAACGUCGUGAGACAGUUCGGUCCCUAUCUGCCGUGGGCGCUGGAGAACUGAGGGGGGCUGCUCCUAGUACGAGAGGACCGGAGUGGACGCAUCACUGGUGUUCGGGUUGUCAUGCCAAUGGCACUGCCCGGUAGCUAAAUGCGGAAGAGAUAAGUGCUGAAAGCAUCUAAGCACGAAACUUGCCCCGAGAUGAGUUCUCCCUGAGACUU
rnacentral:rRNA from 1 species